rnacentral:rRNA from 1 species
GGCGUGCUUAACACAUGCAAGUCGAACGGGAAACGUUCCUUCGGGAACCGAGUACAGUGGCGCACGGGUGAGUAACACGUAGGUGACCUACCUAUCGCUGGGGAACAACCCCGGGAAACCGGAGCUAAUUCCGCAUACGCUUUCCAACUCGCGGGUUGGAAAGGAAAGAUGGCCUCUUCAUGAAAGCUGUCGGCGAAUGAUGGGCCUGCGCGUCAUUAGCUUGUUGGUGAGGUAACGGCUCACCAAGGCUGCGAUGACUAGCUGGUCUGAGAGGAUGAUCAGCCACACUGGCACUGGAACACGGGCCAGACUCCUACGGGAGGCAGCAGUGGGGAAUAUUGCGCAAUGGGCGAAAGCCUGACGCAGCAACGCCGCGUGAGUGACGAAGGCCUUCGGGUCGUAAAGCUCUGUCGAGAGGGACGAAACACCGGUGGGAACAAUACCUCGCCGGUUUGACGGUACCUCCAAAGGAAGCACCGGCUAACUCCGUGCCAGCAGCCGCGGUAAUACGGAGGGUGCAAGCGUUGUUCGGAAUUACUGGGCGUAAAGGGCGUGUAGGCGGAUCAAGAAGUCGGGUGUGAAAGCCCUGGGCUCAACCCAGGAAGUGCGCCCGAAACCAUUGGUCUUGAGUUCCAGAGGGGAGCGGGGAAUUCUCAGUGUAGAGGUGAAAUUCGUAGAUCUUGGGAAGAACACCGGUGCCGAAGGGGCCGCUCUGGAUGGAUACUGACGCUGAGGCGCGAAAGCGUGGGGAGCAAACAGGAUUAGAUACCCUGGUAG